rnacentral:rRNA from 1 species
GCGUAAAGGGUACGUAGGCGGUGCAAAAAAGGAGAAAAUUAAAUACUGGGUAAUCAUCCUUUACGUUUUCUUUCUGAUUCACUUUGAAUCUCAGCGAGGACGCGGGUAUCUACAAGUAGACGUGAAAUGUGUUGAUAUGAGAGGACCGACCGUGGCGAAAGCACGUUUCCGGCGAGCAUUGACGCUAAGAGACGAGAGCAUGGGUAUCGAUCGAGAUUAGAGACCUCAGUAGUCAUGCUGUAAACGAUGCAAGUUCAAUGUCGGAGAAAUAAUGUUAAGAAUUUUAGCAGUGGUUCAAAAUGCAAAAAAAAUUCUUAUAAAUUAACCAAAUUAUCACAUACUGAAGGUCUCCGGUGUUCUAGCUAACGCGUUAAACAUGCCGCCUGGGUAGUAGGCCGCAAGGUUGAAACUCAAAAGAAUUGACGGAGACUUGUACAAGG